rnacentral:rRNA from 1 species
CUACGGGAUGCUCCAGUAGGGAAUCUUCGGCAAUGGACGGAAGUCUGACCGAGCAACGCCGCGUGAGUGAAGAAGGUUUUCGGAUCGUAAAGCUCUGUUGUAAGAGAAGAACGAGUGUGAGAGUGGAAAGUUCACACUGUGACGGUAUCUUACCAGAAAGGGACGGCUAACUACGUGCCAGCAGCCGCGGUAAUACGUAGGUCCCGAGCGUUGUCCGGAUUUAUUGGGCGUAAAGCGAGCGCAGGCGGUUAGAUAAGUCUGAAGUUAAAGGCUGUGGCUUAACCAUAGUACGCUUUGGAAACUGUUUAACUUGAGUGCAGAAGGGGAGAGUGGAAUUCCAUGUGUAGCGGUGAAAUGCGUAGAUAUAUGGAGGAACACCGGUGGCGAAAGCGGCUCUCUGGUCUGUAACUGACGCUGAGGCUCGAAAGCGUGGGGAGCAAACAGGAUUAGAUACCCUCGUAGUC